GGGGAUGUAGUUCAAUUGGUAGAGCGCUUGUCUAGCACACAGGAAGUCUUGGGUUUGAUCCCUGGUACCUCA
rnacentral:tRNA from 1 species